AGGGCUCAAUGUCACGACUCUAAGAUUACAACCUGAUCCAAAACCAGGAGUCAAUGCUCAACCAAAGGCACCACCCAGGCGCCCCC